AUACGUAUGUCGCAAGCGUUAUCCGGAUUUAUUGGGCGUAAAGCGCGUCUAGGCGGCUUAGUAAGUCUGAUGUGAAAAUGCGGGGCUCAACCCCGUAUUGCGUUGGAAACUGCUAAACUAGAGUACUGGAGAGGUAGGCGGAACUACAAGAGUAGAGGUGAAAUUCGUAGAUAUUUGUAGGAAUGCCGAUGGGGAAGCCAGCCUACUGGACAGAUACUGACGCUAAAGCGCGAAAGCGUGGGUAGCAAACAGGAUUAGAUACCCUGGUAGUCCACGCCGUAAACGAUGAUUACUAGGUGUUGGGGGUCGAACCUCAGUGCCCAAGCUAACGCGAUAAGUAAUCCGCCUGGGGAGUACGUACGCAAGUAUGAAACUCAAAUGAAUUGGCGGGG
rnacentral:rRNA from 1 species